AGAAAGGUUUUGAUUUGUGUGCCUAUUGUGAUCAUGCACCAGUUUUACAUAAAGUGGAAGACAAUUUGAAUCUUGUUGAAGAUAUUGAGUUAGCUCAUUUCUCUAAGAGCAAUGCAAUACUAAACAAGUUAUCCACCUCUCUCAGUAUGUCAAGGGUGUUAUUUGAACCCCAAAAUUGUAAGAAAGAAAACGGAUAUGCUAACUUUGAAUCAGCUACUUUGAGCUGAAGUGAAAUAGACUUCAGUUUGGACAAUAACAAGGUAACAAGCCCAUUGAAGAAACAGUGUAUACAACAAGCUAAGCCAUUUCAAGAUACAGCUGGUAAAAUAGUUUUUGCAUCAAAAACUGUACUUCAUCAUAAAAACAGUA